rnacentral:rRNA from 1 species
CCUACGGGCGGCAGCAGUGGGGAAUAUUGGACAAUGGGCGAAAGCCUGAUCCAGCCAUGCCGCGUGUGUGAAGAAGGCCUUCGGGUUGUAAAGCACUUUCAGUGGGGAAGAAAGCCUUGGGGCUAAUACCCUCGAGGAACGACAUCACCCACAGAAGAAGCACCGGCUAACUCCGUGCCAGCAGCCGCGGUAAUACGGAGGGUGCGAGCGUUAAUCGGAAUUACUGGGCGUAAAGCGCGCGUAGGCGGUCUGAUAAGCCGGUUGUGAAAGCCCCGGGCUCAACCUGGGAACGGCAUCCGGAACUGUCAGGCUAGAGUGCAGGAGAGGAAGGUAGAAUUCCCGGUGUAGCGGUGAAAUGCGUAGAGAUCGGGAGGAAUACCAGUGGCGAAGGCGGCCUUCUGGACUGACACUGACGCUGAGGUGCGAAAGCGUGGGUAGCAAACAGGAUUAGAUACCCCAGUAGUC